UUAAGCGACUAAGCGUACACGGUGGAUGCCCUGGCAGUCAGAGGCGAUGAAGGACGUGCUAAUCUGCGAAAAGCGUCGGUAAGGUGAUAUGAACCGUUAUAACCGGCGAUGUCCGAAUGGGGAAACCCAGUGCAAUUCGUUGCACUAUCGUUAACUGAAUACAUAGGUUAACGAGGCGAACCGGGGGAACUGAAACAUCUAAGUACCCCGAGGAAAAGAAAUCAACCGAGAUUCCCCAGUAGCGGCGAGCGAACGGGGAGCAGCCCAGAGUCUGAAUCAGCUUGUGUGUUAGUGGAACGGUCUGGAAAGUCCGACGGUACAGGGUGAUAGUCCCGUACACCAAAAUGCACAGGUUGUGAACUCGAAGAGUAGGGCGGGACACGUGGUAUCCUGUCUGAAUAUGGGGGGACCAUCCUCCAAGGCUAAAUACUCCUGACUGACGAUAGUGAACCAGUACCGUGAGGGAAAGGCGAAAAGAACCCCGGCGAGGGGAGUGAAAAAGAACCUGAAACCGUGUACGUACAAGCAGUGGGAGCACCUUCGGGUGUGACUGCGUACCUUUUGUAUAAUGGGUCAGCGACUUAUAUUCUGUAGCAAGGUUAACCGUAUAGGGGAGCCGCAGGGAAACCGAGUCUUAACUGGGCGUUAAGUUGCAGGGUAUAGACCCGAAACCCGGUGAUCUAGCCAUGGGCAGGUUGAAGGUUGGGUAACACUAACUGGAGGACCGAACCGACUAAUGUUGAAAAAUUAGCGGAUGACUUGUGGCUGGGGGUGAAAGGCCAAUCAAACCGGGAGAUAGCUGGUUCUCCCCGAAAGCUAUUUAGGUAGCGCCUCGUGAACUCAUCUUCGGGGGUAGAGCACUGUUUCGGCUAGGGGGUCAUCCCGACUUACCAACCCGAUGCAAACUACGAAUACCGAAGAAUGUUAUCACGGGAGACACACGGCGGGUGCUAACGUCCGUCGUGAAGAGGGAAACAACCCAGACCGCCAGCUAAGGUCCCAAAGUCAUGGUUAAGUGGGAAACGAUGUGGGAAGGCACAGACAGCCAGGAUGUUGGCUUAGAAGCAGCCAUCAUUUAAAGAAAGCGUAAUAGCUCACUGGUCGAGUCGGCCUGCGCGGAAGAUGUAACGGGGCUAAACCAUGCACCGAAGCUGCGGCAGCGACACUAUGUGUUGUUGGGUAGGGGAGCGUUCUGUAAGCCUGCGAAGGUGACCUGUGAGGGUUGCUGGAGGUAUCAGAAGUGCGAAUGCUGACAUAAGUAACGAUAAAGCGGGUGAAAAGCCCGCUCGCCGGAAGACCAAGGGUUCCUGUCCAACGUUAAUCGGGGCAGGGUGAGUCGACCCCUAAGGCGAGGCCGAAAGGCGUAGUCGAUGGGAAACAGGUUAAUAUUCCUGUACUUGGUGUUACUGCGAAGGGGGGACGGAGAAGGCUAUGUUAGCCGGGCGACGGUUGUCCCGGUUUAAGCAUGUAGGCUGGUUGUCCAGGCAAAUCCGGAUAAUCAAGGCUGAGGUGUGAUGACGAGGCACUACGGUGCUGAAGUAACAAAUGCCCUGCUUCCAGGAAAAGCCUCUAAGCAUCAGGUAACAUUAAAUCGUACCCCAAACCGACACAGGUGGUCAGGUAGAGAAUACCAAGGCGCUUGAGAGAACUCGGGUGAAGGAACUAGGCAAAAUGGUGCCGUAACUUCGGGAGAAGGCACGCUGGUGUGUAGGUGAAGUCCCUGCGGAUGGAGCUGAGACCAGUCGAAGAUACCAGCUGGCUGCAACUGUUUAUUAAAAACACAGCACUGUGCAAACACGAAAGUGGACGUAUACGGUGUGACGCCUGCCCGGUGCCGGAAGGUUAAUUGAUGGGGUUAUCCGUAAGGAGAAGCUCUUGAUCGAAGCCCCGGUAAACGGCGGCCGUAACUAUAACGGUCCUAAGGUAGCGAAAUUCCUUGUCGGGUAAGUUCCGACCUGCACGAAUGGCGUAAUGAUGGCCAGGCUGUCUCCACCCGAGACUCAGUGAAAUUGAACUCGCUGUGAAGAUGCAGUGUACCCGCGGCAAGACGGAAAGACCCCGUGAACCUUUACUAUAGCUUGACACUGAACAUUGAGCCUUGAUGUGUAGGAUAGGUGGGAGGCUUUGAAGCGUGGACGCCAGUCUGCGUGGAGCCAACCUUGAAAUACCACCCUUUAAUGUUUGAUGUUCUAACGUUGGCCCCUUACCGGGGUUGCGGACAGUGUCUGGUGGGUAGUUUGACUGGGGCGGUCUCCUCCCAAAGCGUAACGGAGGAGCACGAAGGUUAGCUAAUCCUGGUCGGACAUCAGGAGGUUAGUGCAAUGGCAUAAGCUAGCUUGACUGCGAGCGUGACGGCGCGAGCAGGUGCGAAAGCAGGUCAUAGUGAUCCGGUGGUUCUGAAUGGAAGGGCCAUCGCUCAACGGAUAAAAGGUACUCCGGGGAUAACAGGCUGAUACCGCCCAAGAGUUCAUAUCGACGGCGGUGUUUGGCACCUCGAUGUCGGCUCAUCACAUCCUGGGGCUGAAGUAGGUCCCAAGGGUAUGGCUGUUCGCCAUUUAAAGUGGUACGCGAGCUGGGUUUAGAACGUCGUGAGACAGUUCGGUCCCUAUCUGCCGUGGGCGCUGGAGAAUUGAGGGGGGCUGCUCCUAGUACGAGAGGACCGGAGUGGACGCAUCACUGGUGUUCGGGUUGUCAUGCCAAUGGCACUGCCCGGUAGCUAAAUGCGGAAGAGAUAAGUGCUGAAAGCAUCUAAGCACGAAACUUGCCCCGAGAUGAGUUCUCCCUGAGACUAUAAGUCUCCUGAAGGAACGUUAAAGACGAUGACGUUGAUAGGCCGGGUGUGUAAGCGCAGCGAUGCGUUGAGCUAACCGGUACUAAUGAACCGUGAGGCUUAACCUU
rnacentral:rRNA from 1 species